AACUAUUGGAAACGAUAGCUAAUACCGCAUAACAAUGGAUGACACAUGUCAUUUAUUUGAAAGGGGCAAUUGCUCCACUACAAGAUGGACCUGCGUUGUAUUAGCUAGUAGGUGAGGUAAUGGCUCACCUAGGCGACGAUACAUAGCCGACCUGAG
rnacentral:rRNA from 1 species